rnacentral:rRNA from 1 species
AUGAGGCGAUGGGUAGGUAACUCGAGGUGUUGUUUUUGUGCUCAGGAUGAGACAAUACAACAUUUAUUCAUUGAAUGCCCACUUGCUAAGUUACUUUGGAGAACGAUUCAUAUAGCUUUUAAUAUUAACCAUCCAGUAGAUAUUGUGUCUUUGUUUGGGACGUGGUUAGCUGGGGUUGAACAGAUCACGGCAGCUCGUAUUCGGAUUGGAAUAUGUGCGCUACUAUGGGCUAUAUGGAACUGCAGAAACGACAUGAUUUUUAACAGACAACACAACUUAACUUUUUUGCAGGUUAUCUUCAGAGCUACAGCUUGGAUCCGUACGUGGUCCUUACUCACUCCUAUGGACUCCAGGGAGCCUUUGGUUACUGGGUGCAACCAAUGGGAGAUGGUGGCUCGGGUUAUAUUCAACCGGUUCGGAUGGCGUUCACAUAACAGGAUAGGAGUCUAG